rnacentral:lncRNA from 1 species
AGGUGCAUUGAGAAGCUUGGUGAGGUUGAAAACUUGAGUUAGUUGCAUUGGAUGAGUUAGGUGCAUUGGAUAAGUUAGGCGCAUUAGUUGAGUUGGGUUGAGAAUUAGGGGUAGCCUAGCUUGUCUGUUGAGACACAUGGCCCUCUCUUCUGACCCUAAACUUUGCCCUGUCUUCACCUACAUCAGGUUACUUCAUAUUUGUGAGGGUUAAUUUGGUUACUUGAAGAAGCAAGAAACAUA